UUCUAACAUCUUUUCCAGCUCACAAUUUUUUUAUUCCUGUGGGCAAAAAGACGCCCCAGCAGCUGGAAUUUGUUUAGCUCUCAAACACUGUUGCAAGUAUGGAGGCGGUUUGCAUGCCUUUUUUAUUUUUUAUUUUUGCGACUAAACCUCCACAUGAUCACACAAUAAAUAAAAAAAACUGAAACAGGCCUAUAUGAUCAAUUAGCCCCGUUGGAAGUCUGUCUGUGUUGCUGCUGAGGACCAGUUCAUUUUACAUGAUUUAUCCACCACGUCCCGUCCAUGUUGUACAGUACAGACAGUAUUUAACCACACCCCCUCUCGGCUGUCUCCAGUGCAGGCUAACCGGGCUCAUCCAAGUUCAAAGAAAUAGUGAUUUUCUCUGCUGAUUCUCGUCAGGCAGAGAGUUGGUGCAUACACACGACACUCAGGCAAACGGCGUAUAUUUGACAAUUAAUUCAUUGCACGAGGCUUUAGUGCUUCAUGCAGGCUGGAGAGCACUGACAUGUGUUUAACACUUGAGAGAAAAAUCAGGAUGAUCUCCCGGCAACGGAGGUUCUCCCAGACGUUAUGUGCAUGUGCACGCUUUAAAACAGGAAGAGGCUAAACGGCCCUCACGGCACCUCUUAAGGACUCUGUUUAGUGGUGGACUACGACAUCUGACUGAAGAUGAAAGAGAUGAGAAAGAUGAAAAUGGAAAUGUGUGUUGCAUAUUGUAGCUGUCUAGCAUAGAUGAAGAACAGUAGGAAGGCAGAAGAAUCCAUGUGCUUUCUCCUUUGUUUAGAGUGAUAAUAAUGUAAUGCUGUGUGCAAGUGUAUAUUCUCAGGAUGUAUUAAAUGUAAUCAGAACAGUCUAGACUAGAGAUGGUGGUCUCAGGAUUUGCUGAAGCUAUUGGUCUCUUGUUUCAAAUACAUCAGUCUGGAUGUUUUA